UCAAGUAAGACUACCUGCUGAAUUUAAGCAUAUUAUUAAGCAGAGGAAAAGAAACUAACAAGGAUACCCCUAGUAAUGGCGAAUGAAGCGGGUAAAGCUCAAAUUUAAAAUCCCUGGUCUCAGCGGCCAGGGAGUUGUAGUCUAGGAUCAGUGCAUGAUAGAGUCCUGCCCCGGUAAAAGUGCUCUGGAAAGGGCCAUCAUAGAAGGUGAAAAUCCUGUACAUGACCGGAGGUGGUUGGGUUCAACGAUUCUUGCGUUGAUACAGAGUCGGGUUGCUUGGGAAUGCAGCCUUAAAUGGGUGGUAAAUCUCAUCUAAAGCUAAAUACUGACAGGAGACCGAUAGUGAACAAGUACCGUGAGGGAAAGAUGAAAAGAACUUUGAAAAGAGAGUUAAAAGUACUUGAAAUUGUUAACAGGGAAUCGCUUCUACUCCAAGCUCUGAUUGUAGGAAAUCAGCCUUGCUCGCGGCGUGUGCUGUAGGACGGAGUUGCCACUCGGUAGCCCGUCCUGCGGUUCUUAGUUGUGAUAAGGGUGCACUUUUCUGCAGUAGGGUCAACAUCAAUUCUCGUUCCGCGAGAUGGUCGUGCAUCAAGGUAGUUCCUCACUUCGGUAAGGAAAACUUAUAGGGUGCGUGUGCCGAGCGGAAGGGGGAUUGAGGACAACAAUGGCAUGCCUCUAGGCUGUGACGUGCGUCACUUGCGCUGAUGGGCUGGCAGACUGCAAGCAGUGUGUCGGCGUAUUGGUGUUGGUAGGUGUACUAGCAAUGUGCCAUCAGGAUGUUGACGUAAGGGGUAGCAUCGACCCGUCUUGAAACACGGACCAAGGAGUCUA
rnacentral:rRNA from 1 species